rnacentral:rRNA from 1 species
UGUCUUUAGCGACAACUUGGCUCGUGGAUCGAUGAAGAACGCAGCUAGCUGCGAUAAAUAGUGCGAAUUGCAGACGCAUUGAGCACAAAGAUUUCGAACGCACAUUGCACCAUCGGGUUGAUUCCCGAUGAUACGUCUGGUUGAGGGUCA